rnacentral:rRNA from 1 species
UACGUAGGGGGCAAGCGUUGUUCGGAUUCAUUGGGCGUAAAGGGCGCGUAGGCGGCUUUUCAAGUGAAGGGUGAAAUCCCUCGGCUUAACCGAGGAACUGCCUGUCAGACUGGAAGGCUUGAGACCGGGAGAGGUGAGUGGAAUUCCCAGUGUAGCGGUGAAAUGCGUAGAUAUUGGGAGGAACACCAGUGGCGAAGGCGGCUCACUGGACCGGAACUGACGCUGAGGCGCGAAAGCGUGGGGAGCAAACAGG